AGUGAACGCUGGCGGUAGGCCUAACACAUGCAAGUCGAACGGCAGCACAGUAAGAGCUUGCUCUUACGGGUGGCGAGUGGCGGACGGGUGAGGAAUACAUCGGAAUCUACUUUUUCGUGGGGGAUAACGUAGGGAAACUUACGCUAAUACCGCAUACGACCUACGGGUGAAAGCAGGGGAUCUUCGGACCUUGCGCGAUUGAAUGAGCCGAUGUCGGAUUAGCUAGUUGGCGGGGUAAAGGCCCACCAAGGCGACGAAGCGUAGCUGGUCUGAGAGGAUGAUCCGCCACACUGGAACAGAGACACGGUCCAGACUCCUACGGGAGGCAGCAGUGGGGAAUAUUGGACAAUGGGCGCAAGCCUGAUCCAGCCAUACCGCGUGGGUGAAGAAGGCCUUCGGGUUGUAAAGCCCUUUUGUUGGGAAAGAAAAGCAGCAGGUUAAUACCCCGCUGUUCUGACGGUACCCAAAGAAUAGGCACCGGCUAACUUCGUG
rnacentral:rRNA from 1 species